rnacentral:rRNA from 1 species
UGGGAAUUUGGACAAUGGGGCAACCUGAUCCAGCAAUGCCGCGUGUGUGAAGAAGGCCUUCGGGUUGUAAAGCACUUUUGUCCGGAAAGAAAACGUCGUGGUUAAUACCCGUGGCGGCUGACGGUACCGGAAGAAUAAGCACCGGCUAACUACGUGCCAGCAGCUGCGGUAAUACGUAGGGUGCAAGCGUUAAUCGGAAUUACUGGGCGUAAAGCGUGCGCAGGCGGUCCGCUAAGACAGAUGUGAAAUCCCCGGGCUUAACCUGGGAACUGCAUUUGUGACUGGCGGGCUAGAGUAUGGCAGAGGGGGGUAGAAUUCCACGUGUAGCAGUGAAAUGCGUAGAGAUGUGGAGGAAUACCGAUGGCGAAGGCAGCCCCCUGGGCCAAUACUGACGCUCAUGCACGAAAGCGUGGGGAGCAAACAGGAUUAGAUACCCUGGUAUCCACGCCCUAAACGAUGUCAACU